rnacentral:rRNA from 1 species
AUGGCGCUGUGCUCGUCCUUCUUCACCUUGAAGACCCACUUGAGCCCGAUGGCUCGGUGCCCAGAAGGCAGUGUGGUGAGUGUCCAAGUUGCGUUGUCGUUGAUCGACGCCAGCUCGUCCAGCAUCGCGUGGCGCCAGCAAUCCUCUUGCUCGGCCUCCGCGAACGUGGUCGGCUCCUCACCAGCCAUCAGAUGCAAGACCUCGUCGUCAUCAGCGUCCUCAUCCUCGGGAUGUUGCGUUGUUGCCGCAGCCUCGCCGAGGAGAUCCCCCAUGCGCCGAAACCUGUGGGGGGCGCCAACGCUGUCGUCGACGUCGAACAGCUCAGACCUCGCCGUUGGCGGGGUUGCGAACUGCCUCCCGGGACCCACAUUGCUUGACGUCAUGGUGUCCGGCGACACCGUACCCGGGGACGGUGUUCUCGGGGUUGCUGUUCCCGGAUCCACACCUCCCAAGCUUCCCGGGGUGGCACUUCCCGGGGUCUUGCUUCCCGGGGUUGUAGAGUACAUCGGGUACUCCACAGUGAAGGAGCUGCUUGCCGGGGACUCCCCCGACGUCUCCCAAGUCCAUCACGCAUCUUCGUCGAAGAUGACGUCGCGCGAGACAUGCACACGCUUUGAGACGGGGUCGUACAUCUUGUACGCCUUAGAGCCCGUCUCGUAG